rnacentral:rRNA from 1 species
CCUACGGGGGGCAGCAGUGAGGAAUAUUGGUCAAUGGCCGUAAGGCUGAACCAGCCAAGUCGCGUGAAGGAAGAAGGAUCUAUGGUUUGUAAACUUCUUUUAUAGGGGAAUAAAGGUAUCCACGUGUGGAUAUUUGCAUGUACCCUAUGAAUAAGCAUCGGCUACCUCCGUGCCAGCAGCCGCGGUAAUACGUAGGAUGCGAGCGUUAUCCGGAUUUAUUGGGUUUAAAGGGUGCGUAGGUUGUUUUUUAAGUCAGCGGGGAAAGUUUGUGGCUCAACCAUAAAAUUGCCGUUGAAACUGGAAGACUUGAGUGUGUUUGAGGUAGGCGGAAUGCGUUGUGUAGCGGUGAAAUGCAUAGAUAUCACGCAGAACUCCGAUUGCGAAGGCAGCUUACUAAGCCAUAACUGACACUGAGGCACGAAAGCGUGGGGAUCAAACAGGAUUAGAUACCCUGGUAGUC